AGAGAUUGAAACCAGGGGGCUGGUCAGUAUCAAAUAACACCGGAGUCUGAUCAGCAUUGCAGAUUUGAGAAACAGUCAAGGUAAAGGCUAUGGACUUCUGUGAAGAUAAUCCAGCGGGAUGUUAGAGGGAAACUGAGCAUUCCUGAUGCUGGAGUAACAUUCUGGAUUCCCUAGUAUCUUUCUCAAGGAAUAAAUCAUGAAAGAUGACAGCCUUUGGAACAUUUGGCUUAGGAGGCACGCAGCCAAUAAACACGGAACAGUGAUACUAUCAUCUGAGUCGCUGAUAAACACUAAAGUAGAUUGAUUUAGGCCUAG